UACGUAGGGGGCGAGCGUUGUCCGGAUUUAUUGGGCGUAAAGAGCUCGUAGGCGGCUUGGCAAGUCGGGUGUGAAACCUCCAGGCUCAACCUGGAGACGCCACUCGAUACUGCUAUGGCUAGAGUCCGGUAGGGGACCACGGAAUUCCUGGUGUAGCGGUGAAAUGCGCAGAUAUCAGGAGGAACACCGGUGGCGAAGGCGGAUCUCUGGGCCGAUACUGACGCUGAGGAGCGAAAGCGUGGGGAGCGAACAGG
rnacentral:rRNA from 1 species